CGCGUAAAGAACUUGCCUCACAGCUAGGGACAACAUUUAGAAAUGAAUGCUAAUACCUGAUAUUAUGAUUUUAAGGCAUCUUAGAAUUAUGAAAGCUAUAAGCACUGUGAGAGAGCUUUGCGUCCCAUUAGCUAGUUGGAGAGGUAACAGCUCACCAAGGUGAUGAUGGGUAGCCGGCCUGAGAGGGUGAACGGCCACAAGGGGACUGAGACACGGCCCUU
rnacentral:rRNA from 1 species